GAUAAACGCUGGCGGCGUGCCUAACACAUGCAAGUCGAACGCCCUUUUGCGCAAGUGAGAGGGAGUGGCGGACGGGUGAGUACCACGUGGGUACCUACCUUGAGGUGAGGAAUACCACCGAGAAAUCGGUGACAAGACCGCAUACGCUCGGGCAACCGAGCAAAGUCAUGCAAAUGACGCCACAAGAUGAGCCUGCGCCUGAUUAGCUGGUUGGUGAGGAACAGCUCACCAAGGCGACGAUCAGUAGCUGGUCUGAGAGGAUGAUCAGCCACACUGGGAUUGAGAACGGCCCAGACUCCUACGGGG
rnacentral:rRNA from 1 species